UGUUAGAAAGAAAUAAUUUACCCAAUGAUGUAAAAGUGAAACUUUUGAAUAUGCUUCUUUCGAAAUAUCAACGUUUAAUUCAUAAACCGAAAGAACCGAUUAAAGUUUCAAUUGCCAAAGACGAAACUAAAGAAGAAAUUCCUCCUCCUCUGUCUCCUGCUCCUCCUCCUUCGUCCGAUGAUUCGAUUGUAAAUCAGAUUAAAAUAACAAUACCACAGUCGUAUCAAAAAUUUAUACCUCCAUUAUUAAAACAAUCUGAUUAUAAUUGGAAUAGUAAAGGAGAAUAGGUUGUGAACAAUCAAGUAAUUGAGGGGUCUA
rnacentral:lncRNA from 1 species